rnacentral:rRNA from 2 species
UAGGGUGAACCUGCGGAAGGAUCAUUUA